GAAAUGCGAUAAGUAGUGUGAAUUGCAGAAUUCAGUGAAUCAUCGAAUCUUUGAACGCACAUUGCGCCCUUUGGUAUUUCUUAGGGCAUGCCUGUUCGAGCGUCAUCUAAACCUUCAAGCCCUGCUUGGUGUUGGGUGCCUGUCCCGCCUCCGCGCGCGGACUCACCUCAAAUCCAUUGGCGGCCCCCGCGUCGGCCACGAGCGCAGCAGAAACGCGAACUCGUGAGCCCGUCCGGGCGGCUCCCAGAAGCUACACCCACCCAGUUUGACCUCGGAUCAGGUAGGGAUACCCGCUGAACUUAAGC
rnacentral:misc_RNA from 1 species